rnacentral:rRNA from 4 species
GAAACCCAGUGUGAUUCGUCACACUAUCAUUAACUGAAUCCAUAGGUUAAUGAGGCGAACCGGGGGAACUGAAACAUCUAAGUACCCCGAGGAAAAGAAAUCAACCGAGAUUCCCCCAGUAGCGGCGAGCGAACGGGGAGGAGCCCAGAGCCUGAAUCAGCAUGUGUGUUAGUGGAAGCGUCUGGAAAGGCGCGCGAUACAGGGUGACAGCCCCGUACACAAAAGCGCAUGUGCUGUGAGCUCGAUGAGUAGGGCGGGACACGUGGUAUCCUGUCUGAAUAUGGGGGGACCAUCCUCCAAGGCUAAAUACUCCUGACUGACCGAUAGUGAACCAGUACCGUGAGGGAAAGGCGAAAAGAACCCCGGCGAGGGGAGUGAAAAAGAACCUGAAACCGU